rfam:Gracilibacillus kekensis strain CGMCC 1.10681 genome assembly, contig: Ga0079828_101
AUCCUUUAAUCGCUGAAUCUUUAAAGAGCGGGGGAACCAUUACUGGUAGUGAAACUACUAUCUUGGGGUGAAUCUUACUUUGUAAGAAGGGAUACUCUCAAUUCCUAAUCCGACAGCUAACCUCGUAAGCGUUAUUAAUAUCGAAG